GCCCUUGUCGCACUUACCCUCGACAGAGGCCAUUUAUGACCUUAGAGGUGUGCCCCUCGAACCAUUUGAGGUGCGCGCCCUCUUUUUUACUGGGUUGGGGUUUUUAACCCUUCAACCCCAGGACUCUUUAGCCUAAAUUCCCCAUUCCCAACUUAUUCUCUCAAGACCAAUUCCUCAUCUCCUCUUCUAGAACACACACUCUUUACUCACUCUCAAAUUACUUGGGCAUUGUACAAAAGAGUGCAUUACAACAACAACCCCCAACCUCGGAACUCUUUGGCCCAAAUUCCCCAUUCCCAAGUUAUUCUCUCAAGACCAAUUCCUCAUCUCCUCUUCUAGAACACACACUCUUUACUCACUUUCAAAUUUACUUGGGCAUUGUACAAAAGAGUGCAUUACAACAACAACAACACACAAGUUAUAACCACUUUUCUCCACAAAAAUUCAAGAAGAGUAAGCUUGCGGCCGUAGGUUGCAGCCACAGUCCCUGCAUUGCGUCCCCUACUUCUCAGCAUCAAGUCUUGUACAUCCGGCUCCCAUUUUCCUAUCCAUUAUGUCAUCUUUGGACUCAUUAGAGCUAUUAUGUCAUAUACUUGGACAAAUACUUGAUUUUCUCAUGUUUCACAAGAGUGGCACCAAAAAGGAAAGAUGCCCCUACGUCCUCCAAAGAAAAGGGCAAAGUCUCUACAUCCAAUACCACAGCAUGCACUCAUGUCGAUGACAGAGGCAUGAGGAGAUUCCAGAGUUUGGAUGAUAAGACGAUAUUUGAUAGCAUCUUGGCCAAGAGGAAGAUGUGGCUAGAAAGACAACUAAUAUUGGAGGAUUUUAAGGAUUAUGAAAUUGAGAUUUUUAUACAUAGAGCAUGAUGGGCACAUGUGAUUGCAAAACCAUGGGAGAUUUACCCUACUUUGGUACAUGAGUUCUAUGCAAAUUUCAAUUCGCUAGAUUGACAAUCCUGGGACAGAGUGUGAACAUUACACUUGGGUAUGAGACAAGUGGGUUUUGUUUUUCAUAAGGUUAUUGGAGCAUAAUAUGGAUACAGUUAUCUACUUGCUUAAUAGGAGAGUAGAUGCAGGGGAUGUGGAUAAUGAAUUUGAGCACAAUAUGCUAACUCAAUCUUUUACUAUAUUGAUGAAGUUCAUUUGUCACAAUAUCGAGCAUACCGCCCAUUUGAUUACAUCAACCUUUGCAAAAGCGGGGUUGCUAUUUCACUUGGCCGGGGACUUGAAGAUCGACUUAGGCACGUUCAUAUAUAAUCAGAUUUGUGGGUUUGCUAUCAAGCUAGAGCAUUACUAGACAUUAAUUUUUUCCGACCUCAGCAAGGGGAUUUUCAGAUCUUUUGGGGUCAGCUUCUUUCUGCGAAGCAGUUGACUUGGGCCAGUGUUGCUAUUAAUUGUAAGAUAGCAGAUCAUUUUUGGAGAGCUAUCAUACGAAGCAGACAGUAUCAGCAGUAGGAGGAGGUAGCUGAAGGAUAUGGGGAUGCCACCCAAUUUUCUCAGCAACCACAUCCAAACCCUACUGUCAAUCAUCCAUUCAUGCGAUGGUUAUUUGCUAGUUCGACUAAGACCAUCCAAAGAAUUCAGGACAUUCUGCAGUCACUUGGAGCUUGCACUUAAGAGUUCAAAGUAUAGAGAAGACUGCUCAAGGCAUACAAGGUGAUGUGAAUGUGAUACGUUUUGAUGCGUCCAGUACGAAUGGAAGGAACGACAUGCUUAGGAAGAGUAUAAAUAGAUACUCAGGACGGAUUGACGAGCUGAACAUCGAGUUGAUCAGACUAAUGAUCUAGUUUUGAGACAUCCAAGGCCAGGUUGAUGAGACAUAUGACAUGGUAUGCUGCAUGCAGGUUGGUUGGAUCAGACAUACAAUUUGAAGCAAAAGAUUCUCUCGCGUAAGCCUCCAUCAUCAUCUUUAGAUCCACGAGGCUCGGGAGCAUUCCAUCCAUUUUCACCACCACCUUCAGACUAACCAGUGGAGUUCUCAGGUAUCCUCUUUGCCUUUCUUUUUUGCAUUACAAAUAUCAUAUUAUUGUACAUUGAGGGGAAUGCACAAGUUAAGUUUUGUGAUAGAUGGUUUUAUCAUUGAUUUUGUAUAGUUUACUGCUUUUGUUAUGUUUGUCGAUUGUUUAAAAAAAACCAACCUGCAAUGAAUAGGGAAGGUAUGGUAAUGCUAUGAAUGACCUAGUAUCGAAUACUGGUAAUAAUAUCAGCAAAAGAACGUUCUCGUGUGCUUCCAGACA